AUACAAAUCAUUGGGGAUCUUGUUAAAAUGCAGAUUCUGAUUCAGUAAGUCUGCCACAGGGCCUGAAAGUCUCCAUUUCUAACAAGUUUUCAUUUGAUGCUGAU
rnacentral:pre_miRNA from 1 species